CCUACGGGAGGCUGCAGUGGGGAAUAUUGGACAAUGGGGGCAACCCUGAUCCAGCCAUGCCGCGUGUGUGAAGAAGGCCCUCGGGUUGUAAAGCACUUUCAGUGAGGAAGAACGCCUGGUGGUUAAUACCCAUCAGGAAAGACAUCACUCACAGAAGAAGCACCGGCUAACUCCGUGCCAGCAGCCGCGGUAAUACGGAGGGUGCGAGCGUUAAUCGGAAUUACUGGGCGUAAAGCGCGCGUAGGUGGCUUGAUAAGCCGGUUGUGAAAGCCCCGGGCUCAACCUGGGAACGGCAUCCGGAACUGUCAAGCUAGAGUGCAGGAGAGGAAGGUAGAACUCCCGGUGUAGCGGUGAAAUGCGUAGAGAUCGGGAGGAAUACCAGUGGCGAAGGCGGCCUUCUGGACUGACACUGACACUGAGGUGCGAAAGCGUGGGUAGCAAACAGGAUUAGAUACCCGUGUAGUC
rnacentral:rRNA from 1 species